GAGCGGCGCACGGGUGAGUAACGCGUGGGAAUCUACCCUGGGGUUCGGGACAACGGCGGGAAACUGCCGCUAACACCGGAUACGGCCUUUUGGCGAAAGUUUACGCCUGGGAUGAGCCCGCGUCCGAUUAGCUAGUUGGUGGGGUAACGGCCCACCAAGGCUGCGAUCGGUAGCCGGUCUGAGAGGAUGAUCGGCCACACUGGGACUGAGACACGGCCCAGACUCCUACGGGAGGCAGCAGUGGGGAAUCUUGGACAAUGGGGGCAACCCUGAUCCAGCGACGCCGCGUGGGUGAUGAAGGCCUUCGGGUUGUAAAGCCCUUUUGUCGGGGACGAUGAUGACGGUACCCGGCGAAUAAGCACCGGCUAACUCCGUGCCAGCAGCCGCGGUAAUACGGAGGGUGCUAGCGUUGUUCGGAAUUACUGGGCGUAAAGGGCGCGUAGGCGGCCGUUUGCGUCGGAUGUGAAAGCCCGGGGCUCAACCUCGGAACGGCAUUCGAUACGGGACGGCUGGAGACCGGGAGAGGAGAGUGGAACAGCCAGUGUAGAGGUGAAAUUCGUAGAUAUUGGCUGGAACACCGGUGGCGAAAGCGGCUCUCUGGCCCGGUUCUGACGCUGAGGCGCGAAAGCGUGGGGAGCAAACAGGAUUAGAUACCCUGGUAGUCCACGCCGUAAACGAUGUCAACUAGCCGUUGGGAGCCUUGAGCUCUUAGUGGCGCAGCUAACGCAUUAAGUUGACCGCCUGGGGAGUACGGCCGCAAGGUUAAA
rnacentral:rRNA from 1 species